rnacentral:lncRNA from 1 species
GUUGUGGAUAGAAGAAGGGGCGCCUUUCAGCAACCCCUUUCUACCGAACUGAGGGGAGAAGUACCACCAGUCCUUUGUCGAGGGAUGACGCUUGAAGGUAUAGAAAUUCCUAAACAAAGAAAGCGUCGGCCGAAUUUCAGCUAAACUACAAAGAGAAAAAAAACCCUAUCAAAAACCUAAAGGAGUUCGGCAUGACGGAAGCUAGAGAAAUGUUCAGAAAAUGGAAAAGAGCAACGACAAAGGACGGCAGUGGAAGCCGAAGUCCGGCACAGAAGGCCUCCUGGUACAGGCAGAAGCGACCGAGAGGAGGGGUGCUAGCCCGGUCAGUUGG